GUUAUCACGGGAGACACACGGCGGGUGCUAACGUCCGUCGUGAAGAGGGAAACAACCCAGACCGCCAGCUAAGGUCCCAAAGUCAUGGUUAAGUGGGAAACGAUGUGGGAAGGCCCAGACAGCCAGGAUGUUGGCUUAGAAGCAGCCAUCAUUUAAAGAAAGCGUAAUAGCUCACUGGUCGAGUCGGCCUGCGCGGAAGAUGUAACGGGGCUAAACCAUGCACCGAAGCUGCGGCAGCGAACGUAUCACUUAAAGCGAUUCAGCGGGUUACGAUUGACGGAGCGAAGCGACGUCAAAGCGUAUACAAAGUCGAGUCGGUUUAAGGAUACGUUCGUUGGGUAGGGGAGCGUUCUGUAAGCCUGUGAAGGUGGCCUGUGAGGGUUGCUGGAGGUAUCAGAAGUGCGAAUGCUGACAUAAGUAACGAUAAAGCGGGUGAAAAGCCCGCUCGCCGGAAGACCAAGGGUUCCUGUCCAACGUUAAUCGGGGCAGGGUGAGUCGACCCCUAAGGCGAGGCCGAAAGGCGUAGUCGAUGGGAAACGGGUUAAUAUUCCCGUACUUGGUGUUACUGCGAAGGGGGGACGGAGAAGGCUAUGUUGGCCGGGCGACGGUUGU
rnacentral:rRNA from 1 species